rnacentral:rRNA from 1 species
AAUACAGAGGGUGCAAACGUUGCUCGGAAUCAUUGGGCGUAAAGCGCACGUAGGCGGUCCGAUAAGUCGGUAGUGAAAGCCCUCGGCUUAACCGAGGAAGUGCUAUCGAAACUGUCGGACUUGAAUACCGGAGAGGAUCGCGGAAUUCCCGGUGUAGAGGUGAAAUUCGUAGAUAUCGGGAGGAACACCAGUGGCGAAGGCGGCGAUCUGGACGGAUAUUGACGCUGAUGUGCGAAAGCGUGGGGAGCAAACA